GAUGAACGCUGGCGGCGUGCCUAAUACAUGCAAGUCGAGCGAACGGACGAGAAGCUUGCUUUUCUGAUGUUAGCGGCGGACGGGUGAGUAACACGUGGAUAACCUACCUAUAAGACUGGGAUAACUUCGGGAAACCGGAGCUAAUACCGGAUAAUAUUUUGAACCGCAUGGUUCAAAAGUGAAAGACGGUCUUGCUGUCACUUAUAGAUGGAUCCGCGCUGCAUUAGCUAGUUGGUAAGGUAACGGCUUACCAAGGCAACGAUGCAUAGCCGACCUGAGAGGGUGAUCGGCCACACUGGAACUGAGACACGGUCCAGACUCCUACGGGAGGCAGCAGUAGGGAAUCUUCCGAAAUGGGCGAAAGCCUGACGGAGCAACGCCGCGUGAGUGAUGAAGGUCUUCGGAUCGUAAAACUCUGUUAUUAGGGAAGAACAUAUGUGUAAGUAACUGUGCACAUCUUGACGGUACCUAAUCAGAAAGCCACGGCUAACUACGUG
rnacentral:rRNA from 1 species